rnacentral:misc_RNA from 1 species
GAUGAAGAACGCAGCGAAAUGCGAUACUUGGUGUGAAUUGCAGAAUCCCGUGAACCAUUGAGUCUUUGAACGCAAGUUGCGCCCGAAGCCAUCAGGUUGAGGGCACGUCUGCCUGGGCGUCACAUAUCGUUGCCCAAUGCCUAUUGCAGUGCAAUAGGAAUUUCUAGGGCGAAUGAUGGCUUCCCGUGAGCGUUGUUGCCUCGCGGUUGGUUGAAAAUCGAGUCCUUGGUAGGGUGUGCCAUGGUAGAUGGUGGUCGAGUUAGAACGAUACCGAUCAUGUGCAUGCUCCCCAAAAUAUGGCCUCUAUGACCCACACGCGUCUUUUGACGCUCAUGACGAGACCUCAGGUCAGGCGGGGCUACCCGCUGAAUUUAAGCAUAUCAAUAAGCGGAGGA